CAGCCGCCACGGGAAUACGAGGGGGGCAAGCGUUGUUCGGAAUUACUGGGCGUAAAGCGCACGUAGGCGGCUUUGUAAGUCAGAGGUGAAAGCCUGGAGCUCAACUCCAGAACUGCCUUUGAGACUGCAUCGCUCGAAUCCGGGAGAGGUGAGUGGAAUUCCGAGUGUAGAGGUGAAAUUCGUAGAUAUUUGGAAGAACACCAGUGGCGAAGGCGGCUCACUGGACCGGUAUUGACGCUGAGGUGCGAAAGCGUGGGGAGCAAACAGGAUUAGAUACCCCUGUAGUCCCUGUCUCUUAUAC
rnacentral:rRNA from 1 species